CUUCGUUUAAAUUAUCCAAUAAAACUUUCCACCGAAGAACCCCUGUGGCCGUCGCCUUCGUUCCAUGUUCUCUAUCCCUCCAUGUGCUGCCGUCUUCACCAUUUUUCCCCUCCAGCAAGCACCACUCAUGCCAGGAUUCUUCACUCGCGCGCCUCAUCCCAUGCCAAGCUGCCACUCGUCUGCAAAUCACCCAUCUCCAGUCAACCAUUGAAGCUUUAGUUGACUGAAGCAGCCCCAAAAUUCCACGAAGCAAGUCCACCGAAGAAAUCCCCACGCAUCCACUUCUUUUCCUUCGGCUGCCAGCACGUUCGCAAGAUUUUCCCAGGCGGUGACUGAAGCUGCUCUCACACAAUCUUUGGUCUUCUGCCGCAGCAAACCGAGUCAAAAACCCAACAAGUUCCUCCACCGAAGUUGACUUCUCACGUGCCGUUCAUCCACCGAAGCUCCUCCAUCUGCACGUGUCCUCAACCGAACAACGCUAAAGAAUUCAGCCAUGAGUCCAGCAGAUUCGGGUUCAGCCUCUACAGAUUUGUUGACCGUGAUUCCCACGAAUUUGUGCAGUCCACAUCCAGCGAAUUUCACGGGCCCAACAUCACCAAAGCGAAGCAGCUGCUACUCCCCUCGUCCACAUCUUCAGCCCUUCAUCACCGAGGCCCAACAGCCGCAAGCCCUGCACGAAGUGGACCUAUGAAGCUCGGCCCAUCUUCAGCGAAUCCAGUUCAGUUGCAGCAAGCCCACGCCAUUUGAAGCCCAAGAAAAAUUUCAGCAGCCCAAGUCUUUGGCCCAAAAAUCCAACAGCUCCAUUGAGCCCAAUUCAGCAACUUCGGCCCAAGUCCAGCCCGCGAAGAAGGCCCAAGAGUGAGCCAAGCCCAAGCCCAAGAGUGAGCCCAGUCUAGUGCAAGAACAAAUCUUGGUUGGGCUGAGAUUUGUUGAGCCCAAGUUUAAGGCCCGGUCCAAGCCCGCCGGUGUCGUCGAAAGCCCGAUUUCGGCUGCCGUCGCGUCGCCGUCACGGUGUCCCGGUCCCCACUGUUAAUCAAAUGAAGAAGCAAGCGAGAGGGUACUUUCAUGAAGCCAAAUGGUUCCAUACCAGCUACUCACCAACAAUAGAGGAAUACAAGCCCCUUGCUUUAUUAACGACAUGCUAUGGAGAGUUAUCGAUCACAGCACUUGUAGGAAAGGGUGAUGUGGUCACAAGAGAUGCUUUUGAAUGGUUGCUCGGUGACAUUGCUUCUCACUAGGUAUAAUAAAAACAUAAUUAUCCUCCAAUACUCUAAUAAAUUAGAUCGACCACCACUCAGUCGAAAACAAUGUUAACCUAAUUACGCCAAGGUUGUUGACAUACAAUAUGAGCCAAAGAGGGGGCACAUAACAUCUACGGUAGAUUUGUUAAUGAAAGAAAAUGGUGUCUCGAAAUAGGAAACCGAGGAGGAACUCCAGAAACGAGUUGUUGAUGCAUGGAAGGACAUAAAUAAAGAGUUUCUCAGUCUAA